rnacentral:lncRNA from 1 species
AUGCCUUUGUAAAAUUCUCACAUUGGCAAAGGAACAAUAAAUAAUUUAUAAAUUACUAAAAAAAUAUUUUACUAGUCCAAAUAUCUAUAAUUAAUUUAAAUUCAAUAUACUUAAAUCUAAUAAAAAUAAUGAAGACUAUCUAGAUGUUGUAGAUUCAAUAAUGAAAAUUAUAUCAAAAAUAAUAAGAGAAUAGUAUUAUCAAAAUGAUCAUCAAAUAUUCCAAUUUGACUGAGUUAAGAUAUUGAAUAAAAAAAAAUUAACAAUGUCAC